rnacentral:rRNA from 1 species
AUUGCACGCUGGCGGCAGGCUUAACACAUGCAAGUCGAGCGAGCGGCGGACGGGUGAGUAAUGUCUGGGAAACUGCCUGAUGGAGGGGGAUAACUACUGGAAACGGUAGCUAAUACCGCGUACCCUAGGUGUGGCCCCGAUGGGUUUAGCUAGGAGGUGGGGUAUUGGCUCACCUAGUCGACGAUCCCUAGCUGGUAUGAGAGGAUGACCAGCCACACUGGAACUGAGACACGGUCCAGACUCCUACGUGAUGCAGCAGUGGGGAAUAGUGCACAAUGGGCGCAAGCCUGAUGCAGCCAUGCCGCGUGUGUGAAGAAGGCCUUCGGGUUGUAAAGCACUUUCAGCGAGGAGGCGUUACUCGCAGAAGAAGCACCGGCUAACUCCGUGCCAGCCGCCGCGGUAAUAC